rnacentral:rRNA from 1 species
AUUGAACGCUGGCGGCAUGCUUUACACAUGCAAGUCGAACGGUAACAGGCCGCAAGGUGCUGACGAGUGGCGAACGGGUGAGUAAUGCAUCGGAACGUGCCCAGUCGUGGGGGAUAACUACUCGAAAGAGUAGCUAAUACCGCAUACGACCUAUGGAUGAAAGCGGGGGACCGUAAGGCCUCGCGCGAUUGGAGCGGCCGAUGUCAGAUUAGGUAGUUGGUGGGGUAAAGGCUCACCAAGCCAACGAUCUGUAGCUGGUCUGAGAGGACGACCAGCCACACUGGAACUGAGACACGGCCCAGACUCCUACGGGAGGCAGCAGUGGGGAAUUUUGGACAAUGGGCGCAAGCCUGAUCCAGCAAUGCCGCGUGCAGGAAGAAGGCCUUCGGGUUGUAAACUGCUUUUGUACGGAACGAAACGGCUCUGGUUAAUACCCGGGGCUAAUGACGGUACCGUAAGAAUAAGCACCGGCUAACUACGUG